AUGGUGCCUCGAGCAAACGGAGGGCGCUUGGCGUCGGUUGAUCGAUCGGUCUCCCUAGCCGUCGAUGGCAGCUGCGUGUAUGCUCAGGAUCGUAGGUCCCGUUCGUCUCUCGCCACACACCAUGCCGCGAUUUUUUUUCCUCCAGCUGUUAUGUCGCCCGUCGCAGCAGCACCAUCCGCAGUCGCAACAUCGGCUUGCCGCUCUCAGCAGAGCUCCGCGCUUGCUUCUUUGGCAUUUUCGACGGUGCUCCUCCAUCAAUUGUUACGUUGCCCAUGA
rnacentral:rRNA from 1 species